rnacentral:rRNA from 1 species
GACUGGGAUAACUCCGGGAAACCGGGGCUAAUACCGGAUGGUUGUUUGAACCGCAUGGUUCAAACAUAAAAGGUGGCUUCGGCUACCACUUACAGAUGGACCCGCGGCGCAUUAGCUAGUUGGUGAGGUAACGGCUCACCAAGGCAACGAUGCGUAGCCGACCUGAGAGGGUGAUCGGCCACACUGGGACUGAGACACGGCCCACACUCCUACGGGAGGCAGCAGUAGGGAAUCUUCCGCAAUGGACGAAAGUCUGACGGAGCAACGCCGCGUGAGUGAUGAAGGUUUUCGGAUCGUAAAGCUCUGUUGUUAGGGAAGAACAAGUACCGUUCGAAUAGGGCGGUACCUUGACGGUACCUAACCAGAAAGCCACGGCUAACUACGUGCCAGCAGCCGCGGUAAUACGUAGGUGGCAAGCGUUGUCCGGAAUUAUUGGGCGUAAAGGGCUCGCAGGCGGUUUCUUAAGUCUGAUGUGAAAGCCCCCGGCUCAACCGGGGAGGGUCAUUGGAAACUGGGGAACUUGAGUGCAGAAGAGGAGAGUGGAAUUCCACGUGUAGCGGUGAAAUGCGUAGAGAUGUGGAGGAACACCAGUGGCGAAGGCGACUCUCUGGUCUGUAACUGACGCUGAGGAGCGAAAGCGUGGGGAGCGA